rfam:Triticum aestivum genome assembly, contig: Triticum_aestivum_CS42_TGACv1_scaffold_499821_6BL
UUUGUACUCCCUCCGUCCGGAAGUACUUAUCAUCAAAAUGGAUAAAAGGAGAUGUAUCUAGACGUAUUUUAUUUCUAGAUACAUCUCUUUUUAUCCAUUUUGAUGACAAGUAUUUUCAUACGGAAAUAAUAAAUA